rnacentral:lncRNA from 1 species
GAGAUAAUUGCAAUGUGGAUGUGUGGGUGGAAUGAGGGCAGUAUGCAAUAAAUGUUUUGUUUUGUUUUGUUUGUAUCGUAGAUUCUCUGGUGCAAGUAAGGUCUGGCAAUCCCGGCAAGUAUUGGUACCCGCUGAUGACAAACUUAUGCCACUUAAGCAAGCACAGUGUUGUGAUUUCUUGCACCAUGGGUUAAGGCCCAAACUCAUGUCUGUCAACUGGUCUAAUUACCUAUCUUGAUUCUUCACCACUGAUGGCAUCAUCAAGACUGUUGCAUGCUGGGAGUGACCCGAUCCGCAGGUCAACCAAAGUACAGAGGGAAAGUUCAGGUGCUGCUGCCGGGAUGUCAAGAGUUUUUUGUCCUGAAACAACCCUCCCCGAGAUUGCUGAAAUUGUGAUGAGAGAAGCAGGGAUUCUGGAGGAGGGUUUUUAAACCGGAGGAAAAAAGAACUCUUCUUUAGAGAUGAGGGGCGUAGGUGUCUAGAGGGAGCUUUGUUGACAGAGUUUGGGGACAUUGACUGAGGCAAAUAACUCCAAGCACCUAUUCCCAAGAGCCCGGCUUGCCCUCUUUUUCUUCAAUGAUGAAUUUCAGAAGCAGCAUGAGGUGGGUUUUUAUAGAUUUUUCUGCCCAAAUAUCCGAUAGGACAGAGCAUGUUGAAAUACUUACCCAAAGAAAUCAGUUAACGCAGUUUUGAUUAAAAGACGCUUUUGAUGAGCCCUAAAUACGGGUUAGACCGAUUGCUUUGCGCCACACAAUAAGAAAAUCUUCCGUCAUCUGGGACAAGAAUGCCGAACCGGUCGUCAUCGAUCCCCAGUGAAAUGACAUCCUUUGUGUCUUUUGAUGUCGGGAUGACUGUUUUCCCUUUCGAUGUGGCCCCCGCGCAAUGGGGUUCCUGGCCCCUAUGAUGAGUUUAGCAGAGCGGUAGGACUUUGAAGAAGUUUCGCAGCCGCAUGAGGUCAGAGAAGGUGAAGCCCAACCCUUGGUAAUGAAAGAUACUCAAGGGCGAUCAAAUAAGAUGGCAAAUGGGAAGAAAGAGAGACCAUGAUAAUCUGUCAUCUCCCUCUCUCAGAGAAAGAUUUCGCGACUCGCGCUGGGAGGGUUAGCCGGCCAAAGGUUGCCGUUCUGACGAUCUUAAAUGGCUCCGGUUUCUUUAACAACCGUCUCCAACUGGAUUUAGGGUAUUAUUCGGCACCUUAGACAACACGAUGUUGUCAUCAGGGUAUAUUGAAAGAGACAGCAUUUCGCAAAAUGCAUUAAGACCACUUUCGGUUGCGCAUCGCCGGAGGAUUUUCAAGAAUGCAAGAUGGAGGGAAAAUGGGUUCAAUGUGUGUGUAUUUGGGCGAGCCGAGAAUGGACGAGUUGGCCUAGUGACCCAAGUUUCAAUUGCAAAUGUCAUUCCGUUGAACCUUCUUUGUAAGCGGAGCCCGAAUGGAGCGCUCCGGGGUUUGUUUUGGCGACAGUAGACUUCAUCCUUCUAAGCCGCAUUCUUUUCGUUUUGUUAACAUCGUCUGCGAUUGGACGGGUAGAUUUGUUCGUAAUCACGGCAUCAAAAUAAUUCUUUCAAAAAGUUGAAAAGGAUAAAUGAGGAUGACAAUAAAAGGGCACGGGCAAGCCCAAAGAAUUCCAAUCUUUUUUUCAAGCAAACAAUAAAAGAUCAUCAUGAGCUCUCCCGCUGUCGCAGACAUACUUUUGUCGUAAACUGUAAUUAUUAUGUCGCGACAGUCACGAAAACAGUCCUGGGAGAAGGAUUCAUAAUGUCAGGAUCGUCUUGCCUUACAAAAAUGAUAACCGGCUCAAUCGUAUUUGUUAACUUGCGCUUGCCGUCAAGUCUUGUUUUUCUUUCACAUUCGAGAUAAAUCCCCAAAGAAAACAGGUUCACAAAUUGGGAGGAUAGUUAUUAUAUUAGAAACAUCUGGGUAAUGCAUGUCUGCAAAUUGAGGCAUUCAAAAACACGUAUUUUUCAAUCUACUGCAGGUCGAACUUCAGCAAAUUGGGUUGAAUUAGUCCAAUGAUUUAUCAAGCGCCAAUUAAUGUCAAUCUCUUUAUUCCAUAACAGUUACCAAAUUCCUGCUACCAAGUUAUCAAACAAUAAUCAUGUCAUCAUGAAAUCAAUUUUCAAUUCAUUACAUUGUUCUAUUUGGUCACAGAACAACCAUAUACUUUGUACAGUAAUAAGGCAUUGACACUUGGCACUCCAUAAGUUUUUUGGCUAAGACGAGUCAGUUUUUACUUAUUCUGCUUGUACUACUAUGAGCUGUUAAGAACAAUGUCUAAGUUUCACAGUAACAACAACACCCAUAACAAAUGAUGCUCCUACAUCUGCACCGCAAUAGUUGCUUUAAAAUUUAUUUCAUCAAAGAUAAUGUGUAUAGGGUUAGGUUUAGGUUUGCAAUUGGGUUUAGUUCAUGUAUAGGGUUGGGUUUAGGUUUGCAAUUGAGUUUAGUUCAUGUAUAGGGUUGGGUUUAGGUUUGCAAUUGAGUUUAGUUCAUGUAUAGGGUUAGGUUUAGGUUUGCAAUUGAGUUUAGUUCAUGUAUAGGGUUGGGUUUA